UGCCUCUCAGGGUCACACCUGGAGAGUUUCCAGUACUCUACCAGCCUUGAUAAUGGGAGGGAGAGUCAAGCAGUGGCAUCCCCAUUCCAUUCCUAGCUUGGACAGGGGCCAGUGAGCAGAAGGCAAUCUGCUACAAGU